AAAGGCCCUGCUUGCAGGGUACUCGAGUGGCGAACGGGUGAGUAACACGUGGGUGAUCUGCCCUGCACUUCGGGAUAAGCUUGGGAAACUGGGUCUAAUACCGGAUAGGACCGCACUUUAGUGUGUGUGGUGGAAAGUUUUUUCGGUGUAGGAUGAGCUCGCAGGCCUAUCAGCUUGUUGGUGGGGUAAUGGGCCUACCCAAGGCGGCGACGGGUAGCCGGCCUGAGAGGGUGUACGGCCACAUUGGGACUGAGAUACGGCCCAGACUCCUACGGGAGGCAGCAGUGGGGAAUAUUGCACAAUGGGCGCAAGCCUGAUGCAGCGACGCCGCGUGGGGGAUGAAGGCCUUCGGGUUGUAAACUCCUUUCGCUAGGGACGAAGCUUUUUGUGACGGUACCUAGAUAAGAAGCACCGGCUAACUACGUGCCAGCAGCCGCGGUAAUACGUAGGGUGCGAGCGUUGUCCGGAAUUACUGGGCGUAAAGGGCUCGUAGGUGGUUUGUCGCGUCGUCUGUGAAAUUCUGGGGCUUAACUCCGGGCGUGCAGGCGAUACGGGCAUAACUUGAGUGCUGUAGGGGUAACUGGAAUUCCUGGUGUAGUGGUGAAAUGCGCAGAUAUCAGGAGGAACACCGAUGGCGAAGGCAGG
rnacentral:rRNA from 1 species